rnacentral:rRNA from 1 species
UUAAGCGACUAAGCGUACACGGUGGAUGCCCUGGCAGUCAGAGGCGAUGAAGGACGUGCUAAUCUGCGAUAAGCGUCGGUAAGGUGAUAUGAACCGUUAUAACCGGCGAUUUCCGAAUGGGGAAACCCAGUGUGUUUCGACACACUAUCAUUAACUGAAUCCAUAGGUUAAUGAGGCGAACCGGGGGAACUGAAACAUCUAAGUACCCCGAGGAAAAGAAAUCAACCGAGAUUCCCCCAGUAGCGGCGAGCGAACGGGGAGCAGCCCAGAGCCUGAAUCAGUGUGUGUGUUAGUGGAAGCGUCUGGAAAGGCGCGCGAUACAGGGUGACAGCCCCGUACACAAAAAUGCACAUAUUGUGAGCUCGAUGAGUAGGGCGGGACACGUGGUAUCCUGUCUGAAUAUGGGGGGACCAUCCUCCAAGGCUAAAUACUCCUGACUGACCGAUAGUGAACCAGUACCGUGAGGGAAAGGCGAAAAGAACCCCGGCGAGGGGAGUGAAAAAGAACCUGAAACCGUGUACGUACAAGCAGUGGGAGCCUCUUUUAUGGGGUGACUGCGUACCUUUUGUAUAAUGGGUCAGCGACUUAUAUUCUGUAGCAAGGUUAACCGAAUAGGGGAGCCGAAGGGAAACCGAGUCUUAACUGGGCGUUAAGUUGCAGGGUAUAGACCCGAAACCCGGUGAUCUAGCCAUGGGCAGGUUGAAGGUUGGGUAACACUAACUGGAGGACCGAACCGACUAAUGUUGAAAAAUUAGCGGAUGACUUGUGGCUGGGGGUGAAAGGCCAAUCAAACCGGGAGAUAGCUGGUUCUCCCCGAAAGCUAUUUAGGUAGCGCCUCGUGAAUUCAUCUCCGGGGGUAGAGCACUGUUUCGGCAAGGGGGUCAUCCCGACUUACCAACCCGAUGCAAACUGCGAAUACCGGAGAAUGUUAUCACGGGAGACACACGGCGGGUGCUAACGUCCGUCGUGAAGAGGGAAACAACCCAGACCGCCAGCUAAGGUCCCAAAGUCAUGGUUAAGUGGGAAACGAUGUGGGAAGGCCCAGACAGCCAGGAUGUUGGCUUAGAAGCAGCCAUCAUUUAAAGAAAGCGUAAUAGCUCACUGGUCGAGUCGGCCUGCGCGGAAGAUGUAACGGGGCUAAACCAUGCACCGAAGCUGCGGCAGCGACACUAUGUGUUGUUGGGUAGGGGAGCGUUCUGUAAGCCUGUGAAGGUGUACUGUGAGGUAUGCUGGAGGUAUCAGAAGUGCGAAUGCUGACAUAAGUAACGAUAAAGCGGGUGAAAAGCCCGCUCGCCGGAAGACCAAGGGUUCCUGUCCAACGUUAAUCGGGGCAGGGUGAGUCGACCCCUAAGGCGAGGCCGAAAGGCGUAGUCGAUGGGAAACAGGUUAAUAUUCCUGUACUUGGUGUUACUGCGAAGGGGGGACGGAGAAGGCUAUGUUGGCCGGGCGACGGUUGUCCCGGUUUAAGCGUGUAGGCUGGUUUUCCAGGCAAAUCCGGAAAAUCAAGGCUGAGGCGUGAUGACGAGGCACUACGGUGCUGAAGCAACAAAUGCCCUGCUUCCAGGAAAAGCCUCUAAGCAUCAGGUAACAUCAAAUCGUACCCCAAACCGACACAGGUGGUCAGGUAGAGAAUACCAAGGCGCUUGAGAGAACUCGGGUGAAGGAACUAGGCAAAAUGGUGCCGUAACUUCGGGAGAAGGCACGCUGAUAUGUAGGUGAAGUCCCUCGCGGAUGGAGCUGAAAUCAGUCGAAGAUACCAGCUGGCUGCAACUGUUUAUUAAAAACACAGCACUGUGCAAACACGAAAGUGGACGUAUACGGUGUGACGCCUGCCCGGUGCCGGAAGGUUAAUUGAUGGGGUUAGCGCAAGCGAAGCUCUUGAUCGAAGCCCCGGUAAACGGCGGCCGUAACUAUAACGGUCCUAAGGUAGCGAAAUUCCUUGUCGGGUAAGUUCCGACCUGCACGAAUGGCGUAAUGAUGGCCAGGCUGUCUCCACCCGAGACUCAGUGAAAUUGAACUCGCUGUGAAGAUGCAGUGUACCCGCGGCAAGACGGAAAGACCCCGUGAACCUUUACUAUAGCUUGACACUGAACAUUGAGCCUUGAUGUGUAGGAUAGGUGGGAGGCUUAGAAGUGUGGACGCCAGUCUGCAUGGAGCCGACCUUGAAAUACCACCCUUUAAUGUUUGAUGUUCUAACGUGGACCCGUGAUCCGGGUUGCGGACAGUGUCUGGUGGGUAGUUUGACUGGGGCGGUCUCCUCCUAAAGAGUAACGGAGGAGCACGAAGGUUGGCUAAUCCUGGUCGGACAUCAGGAGGUUAGUGCAAUGGCAUAAGCCAGCUUGACUGCGAGCGUGACGGCGCGAGCAGGUGCGAAAGCAGGUCAUAGUGAUCCGGUGGUUCUGAAUGGAAGGGCCAUCGCUCAACGGAUAAAAGGUACUCCGGGGAUAACAGGCUGAUACCGCCCAAGAGUUCAUAUCGACGGCGGUGUUUGGCACCUCGAUGUCGGCUCAUCACAUCCUGGGGCUGAAGUAGGUCCCAAGGGUAUGGCUGUUCGCCAUUUAAAGUGGUACGCGAGCUGGGUUUAGAACGUCGUGAGACAGUUCGGUCCCUAUCUGCGUGGGCGCUGGAGAACUGAGGGGGGCUGCUCCUAGUACGAGAGGACCGGAGUGGACGCAUCACUGGUGUUCGGGUUGUCAUGCCAAUGGCACUGCCCGGUAGCUAAAUGCGGAAGAGAUAAGUGCUGAAAGCAUCUAAGCACGAAACUUGCCCCGAGAUGAGUUCUCCCUGACCCUUUAAGGGUCCUGAAGGAACGUUGAAGACGACGACGUUGAUAGGCCGGGUGUGUAAGCGCAGCGAUGCGUUGAGCUAACCGGUACUAAUGAACCGUGAGGCUUAACCUU